GGCUCGGUGGUGUAGUUGGUUAUCACGUCAGUCUAACAAGAAUGAAGCUUGUGAUCACUGAAGGUCCCGAGUUCAAACCUCGGCUGAGUCA